CGAUAGUGGAGGCAGCACAUCUUGAGAGAGUUCAAGAAAACUCCCAGUGUGGUCAAUAAUGAUCCACCUAUAACAGACACAAGAAGGAACAGAAUGAAGUCUUUAUUUGUGAGUUUGUUCCGCAUCAUGUGUAUGGCAAUUAGGGCCAGCAGCACAGAGGUGAAGGGGAUAAGGAAGCCCAGAUUUUUGGCCACGGACUGCUGGAUUUCCCUGUGUGUUCUCCACUCCUCAGUGGCUUCUCCAUUCCUCCUUGGUCUCUCUGGUCUCCUGUGGCUUCCCUCCGGUAACUUCCCCAGAUCCACUCUACCUAUCUCCACACUCUCCACUGCUGGCUGUCAUCAUCAAUAAAGACAUUCCCCUCUA